rnacentral:rRNA from 1 species
UACAGAGGUCUCAAGCGUUUGUUCGGAUUCAUUGGGCGUAAAGGGUGCGUAGGCGGCGCGGUAAGUCGGGUGUGAAAUCUCGGAGCUUAACUCCGAAACUGCAUUCGAUACUGCCGUGCUUGAGGACUGGAGAGGAGACUGGAAUUUACGGUGUAGCGGUGAAAUGCGUAGAUAUCAUGAGGAAUACCAGAGGCGAAGGCGGCUACCUGGACAAUUGCUGACGCUCAGGCACGAAAGCGUGGGGAGCAAAAGGG